UACGUAGGGUGCGAGCGUUGUCCGGAAUUAUUGGGCGUAAAGAGCUCGUAGGCGGUUUGUCGCGUCGACUGUGAAAACCCGAGGCUUAACCUCGGGCCUGCAGUCGAUACGGGCAGACUAGAGUUCGGUAGGGGAGACUGGAAUUCCUGGUGUAGCGGUGAAAUGCGUAGAUAUCGGAAGGAACAUCAGUGGCGAAGGCGGCUCACUGGCCCGGUACUGACGCUGAGGUGCGAAAGCGUGGGGAGCAAACAGGG
rnacentral:rRNA from 1 species